ACGGGGCGCAGCAGGCGCGAAACCUUUACACUGCACGCCAGUGCGAUAAGGGGAUCCCGAGUGCACAGGCAUAGAGCCUGUGCUUUUCUGAACCGUAGGGAGGUUCAGGAACAAGAGCUGGGCAAGACCGGUGCCAGCCGCCGCGGUAAUACCGGCAGCUCGAGUGAUGGCCGAUCUUAUUGGGCCUAAAGCGUCCGUAGCUGGCCUUGCAAGUCCGUCGGGAAAUCCACCCGCUCAACGGGUGGGCGUCCGGCGGAAACUGUGAGGCUUGGGACCGGGAGGCUUGAAGGGUACGUCCGGGGUAGGAGUGAAAUCCUGUAAUCCUGGACGGACCGCCGAUGGGGAAACCACUUCAAGAGAACGGAUCCGACAGUGAGGGACGAAMGCUAGGGUCUCGAACCGGAUUAGAUACCCCGGUAGUCC
rnacentral:rRNA from 1 species